rnacentral:rRNA from 1 species
GACGAACGCUGGCGGCGUGCUUAACACAUGCAAGUCGAGCGGUAAGGCUCCUUCGGGAGUACACGAGCGGCGAACGGGUGAGUAACACGUGAGCAAUCUGCCCUUCACUUCGGGAUAACCCUCGGAAACGAGAGCUAAUACCGAAUACGACCACUUCAGGCAUCUGAUGGUGGUGGAAAGUUCCGGCGGUGAAGGAUGAGCUCGCGGCCUAUCAGCUUGUUGGUGAGGUAAUGGCUCACCAAGGCUUCGACGGGUAGCCGGCCUGAGAGGGUGACCGGCCACACUGGGACGGAGACACGGCCCAGACUCCUACGGGAGGCAGCAGUGGGGAAUAUUGGACAAUGGGCGAAAGCCUGAUCCAGCAACGCCGCGUGAGGGAUGACGGCCUUCGGGUUGUAAACCUCUUUCAGCACAGACGAAGCGCAAGUGACGGUAUGUGCAGAAGAAGGACCGGGACGAAGAGAAAUUGACGGUACCGGUAUAAGAAGCACCGGCCAACUACGUGCCAGCAGCCGCAGUAAUAC